rnacentral:rRNA from 1 species
GAUGAACGCUGGCGGCGUGCCUAAUACAUGCAAGUCGAGCGAACAGACGAGGAGCUUGCUCCUCUGACGUUAGCGGCGGACGGGUGAGUAACACGUGGAUAACCUACCUAUAAGACUGGGAUAACUUCGGGAAACCGGAGCUAAUACCGGAUAAUAUAUUGAACCGCAUGGUUCAAUAGUGAAAGACGGUUUUGCUGUCACUUAUAGAUGGAUCCGCGCCGCAUUAGCUAGUUGGUAAGGUAACGGCUUACCAAGGCAACGAUGCGUAGCCGACCUGAGGGGGUGAUCGGCACCUGUGAAGCGAGGACGCGCACCAAACCCCUACGUGAGGCACCGGUGGGAAUCCUACGGAAGGGGGCAAAGGCCUAUGGAGGAAACGCGGCGUAAGUAUGAAAGGUCUUCGACUCGUAAAUCAUGGUUGUAGGGGAGGAGCAAAGGUGUAGUAACCUAGACGCUAAUGACCGGACCCUAAGAAAAAGCCCCGGCUAACUUCGUG